UACGUAGGGUGCAAGCGUUGUCCGGAAUUAUUGGGCGUAAAGAGCUCGUAGGCGGUCUGUCGCGUCGGAUGUGAAAAUCCAGGGCUCAACCCUGGACCUGCAUUCGAUACGGGCAGACUAGAGUUCGGUAGGGGAGACUGGAAUUCCUGGUGUAGCGGUGAAAUGCGCAGAUAUCGGGAGGAACACCUAUGGCGAAGGCAGCUCGCUGGGACGUUACUGACGCUGAGACGCGAAAGCGUGGGGAGCAAACAGG
rnacentral:rRNA from 1 species